rnacentral:rRNA from 1 species
CCUGGUGGUUACAGCGCGGGGGCAACACCUCUUCCCAUUUCGAACAGAGAAGUUAAGUCCCGCAGCGCCGAUGGUACUGGCCUUUUAAUACAGUGUCAACCGUCAUUC